rnacentral:rRNA from 1 species
UACGAAGGGGGCUAGCGUUGCUCGGAAUCACUGGGCGUAAAGAGCGCGCAGGUGGUUGAUUAAGUCUGAUGUGAAAGCCCACGGCUUAACCGUGGAGGGUCAUUGGAAACUGGUCGACUUGAGUGCAGAAGAGGGAAGUGGAAUUCCAUGUGUAGCGGUGAAAUGCGUAGAGAUAUGGAGGAACACCAGUGGCGAAGGCGAGUCCCUGGACAACACCUGACACUGAGGCACGAAAGCCGGGGGAGCAAACAGG